rnacentral:piRNA from 4 species
CUCGCCUGCCACGCGGGAGGCCCGG